GGGAACUUGAGGACAUUCUAUUGAGAUAAAGGAUUAUUCUGCGUAGGAGGGAACACUGAUGCAGUCUUUCUUUUUCUCUUGGAAAUGCCAUUGGGCUUCCACGCUGCCAUUAAGAAGAAUAAGAAGAUUGUAGUGUGUGUGUUCUGUAUAAACGCUAAUUUUUUUUACUUUGGUAUCUCUCUGAUUUUGGAAGAGUGAUUAAACAUGGUUUAGAUUGGAUGCUAUUUCAGGCUUUCUGGGUGUCUUUUCUUUUCCUUCCCCCUUGUAUAAGAACUUGGUACAUUGUAGCAUGGGAAAACUGUAUUCAUUUGUUUCAAGUGUCUUCUAAAAUCUCUC
rnacentral:misc_RNA from 1 species